rnacentral:rRNA from 1 species
AUUGAACGCUGGCGGCAGGCCUAACACAUGCAAGUCGAACGCGUGGCGGACGGGUGAGUAAUGUCUGGGAAACUGCCUGAUGGCGGGGGAUAACUACUGGAAACGGUAGCUAAUACCGCAUACCAUCAGAUGUGCCCAGAUGGGAUUAUCUGGUUGGUGGGGGAACGGCUCACCAGGGCGACGAUCCCUAGCUGGUCUGAGAGGAUGACCAGCCACACUGGACCUGAGAAACGGUCCAGACUCCUACGGUAGGCAGCAGUGGGGAAUAUUGCACAAUGGGCGAAAUCCUGAUGCAGCCAUGCCGCGUGUAUGAAGAAGGCCUUCGGGUUGUAAAGUACUUUCAGCGAGGAGGCGUUACCCGCAGAAGAAGCACCGGCUAACUCCGUGCCAGCAGCCGCGGUAAUUC